UGAUGCACAGAGGGCCACACAGUGCCCACCCUCCCCUCACCAAAACCCUUCCUGAGAUCCAGAGCGCAUCUCUAUGCCUCCCUCUAGAGCUCUGCCAGCACUGAGGUCUAGUGUCCCCACAAGGACUCUCCCUGGGUCCCACCAACACCCACCUGUCACCAAGACUCGCGACUUUGCCUUCUCCUUCAAUCUCAUGGCUCCCUCCUUUCUGCUCUCAGCCAGACCCAGUCUUGGGUCCAAGGGCGAUGUCCUCUGCUCUUCCUUGGCCCGAGGCAGGAGCCAGCUCACUCUUUCCAAAACAGAGGUUUGGGCCUUCCCCACAGCAAAGCCUCCCCGCCCAGGAAGUGAGGCCCACACCAGUCUCAGGCUCUUCUUGGUUCGUCUUCGCUGAGGUGUUGCAUUCCCAGCGGCCACAGGUCCUGUGGGGCCUCUCUGGCUGCACUGCCCUGUUCCAUCUGCACCCUGGGAAAUCUCCCCUUUACCAUCACCCUCAUUUCAUUUGGUCUCACAUCCCCGUUGGUUGUUAAUGUGCCACUUUUCUAUAACAGCCCGAAUCUUAACCAUCACUAGACUCACCGUACCUCUGAGUAUAUGUGUUUAGCACAUAGUGAGAACUAAGUCAAGGUCUGUUGAUGAAAUCAGUUUUAUAAUCCUAGCUUUUUCCUUCUAAAUCCUAAUUCCUGGAGAUCAGUGUUUUUGUUUCAUGACAUUUAUGAGCAGCAACCCCUUGCCAAGGUGACCUGACAUUCACACCACCUCCUAGUUUUUCUGGAGCAGAACCACUGCCUAAACAAUAGUGGUUAACAGGAAGACAACAUUGUGAUUUUUCUUCAGUUAAAACCAGUUUCAUUUAAGACACAGAUCAAGGAAAGAACUGGAUGUAAGGGGGUAAUAAGAAUACAAGAAGAGUUUAUAAAACCCAGAGGAAAUAUCAAAUGAGUCAAAUUUAGUAAUCUUUUUGUUUAAACCCCUUGUGACCAUAUCUUUUGGAAGCUGGGUUGUUGUGUGCAUCAGGGCGGCUGGCAGGUGUGGGCUCAGCCCCGGGUCCACACUGGUGUUCUGGGACGUGCCUGUGGACGCCCCUGAGCCAGGCCUGAGGAGGGGCAGGGACACGGAGGCUUCCUUCAGAAGCGGGGCUCACCAGGCUUUGUGAGGGGCUUUUAGCAACCUGGUGGUGGAGCCUAUCUUCCCCUGAGGGGCAGAGCCAGGCAGCCCUGGACAGAUACACCGCCUGCUAACCACUGCCACCACUGGGUGACCCCAAGCCUGGACAGCUUGGCUGUUUUCGGCCCAGCUACCUCUCUUCUUUUCCUAAAAUAAUACGAAAGGAGGGCUUUGGGCAGUUUUUCCCUUAAGAAGUUAAAAAUCACCAAAUUGUAAGUAUUUGCAUUCUAAUUGUCACAACCCAAUUCCUAGCUGAUCAGCUGAUGGUUCUGGCUGCCCCAGACCCCACUCUACAUGCAUCCUGCGGUAUAUGCUGACGGUUCUGCACCCACCUCAGCCUGGGGAUGGCGUGGAGGCCAUGCGGGGAGGAAGAGGAUGGCGCCAGGCCCAGCUCAGAGCAGUCCACUGGAGGGAUGAGGGUUUGUGCUAUAAGUAGCUAGCUCCUUUGCUCUUUCCAUUCUUCAAAUAGUGUCUCUCCAACCCCCCCAAAAAGAUCAGAUGUUAUCAUACAUUUCCUAGCUAAGGACCACCAGGUUGUUAUAUGGGACAAAUAGUGCCACCCUCGCUAUUACCAAAGUACAUGACCUUCACGGAGAAGUUACUAACCCUCCUGACAAAGGCAGGACGUUCUGUUGCUGCGCAGGAAAGUUGCCCCAGUUUUCAGGGACAAGGUGUCGAGCUGUGAUAUGAUGCACUAUUUUGAGUAAAUUACCCUGUAGGAAAUGCCUCCUUGAUUUUUCCACAGUGCAAGUGUGCCCUAGAUUUACCAGAAAUUCAAAUAUUAUAUUAAUAGGGAGAUUUUUAGGUUCUCAAGUAAUUUCCUUUCUUUUCAAUAAAGGAAUGUCUUGAGUGAAAUUUAAUGUAUAUGCUUUUGUAAGAUGGCACAAAUCAGAAGAAAAUGCUCCACUGGGAUCUGAGUUCUGGUUCAGGAAAACAAGGUCGUGGUGUGGACGACAUGGUGGGAACUGAGUCAGCUUCUCUGUCGGAUGAGCCAGAACAAUGACAAAGGCAGGGGUGAGUCUGGACUCUCCGGCAGACGGGCUUCUGGUCUCCUGGAGACGCACUCUCUCACCGCAAAGCCCGUGGGGCCAGCCUGUCUUUCUGAACAGUGCUCUCCUGAAACCGUUUAUCAAAAAUAUUGUUAUAGUACAAAGACUAUAAAAAGGAAAACAAACAAACAAAAGCCCUUGGUAAAAGGUAAAAAGGAAAAGCUGCUAAAACCUCAAAAAUCUGCACUGUUUCAGCCUCAAGUGAUCAUGAACAAAUGCUGCUGGUCACUCCAAGCUGACAUU
rnacentral:lncRNA from 1 species